GACAUAACUUUGCAGAAGGGAAGAAUGCUUGCUACUUGCUUGACUGGGCAGAUGUAAUUGUUGCUGAAGGUCGUUGGGAUUCUAGUGAUCCAAAGAUAACUGUACAUGGAAAGCCUCUUCGACCAGACUUUAUGUGAGUAUGGGUUGAUGUUGAUAUUGUACCAUAAUCUUACUUAUUUCGUCCUAAUAAUGCAAUGCUUACAAUACAAGAAGCAGUUGGUUCCACAGUUGCAUGACCUUCUAAAAAAGUUAUUCCAAGAGAUGUGACAAGCGAAAUAGAAAAGGAUACUUAAUUUUGAAGGCUUUGUGUUGGGCAGCUGUAGAAUAUUUUGUGUUGAAAGUAGUAACUUUUCAAUAUGUUGAAUAUUUAAGACUACUUGUAUACUUAAAGAACAUUUUGUUGUUGAUGACAGUGUUGAAUGUUUUAAACUAAUUUGUGGAUUGUUAAUACAA